rnacentral:lncRNA from 1 species
UUUAAAUCCUAAGUCAAAUCCUUACUAAAUCUUAAACAAAUCUUAAAUCCUAAAUCAAGCCUAAUCAAACUAACUUAAUCCUAGGUAAUUUAGAACCUCAAUACCUAUCAAUUAUAUUGUUGAUCUUACUUAAGAUUUUAUACUCUUUUCAACAAUUAAGUUAGCAAUAAGCACAAAAAAUUUGAAGAAGAUUGAACUUACUAAAUAGAAGAUUG